CUGGCUCCGGGCUCUCGGGCAGGCUGGUCCCGGGCCUGGCGGCGGGCGGGUUGCAUCCCCCGUGGCCGGAUGGCUUGGAAAGCAGCUCGGCUGCGCUGCCCUGCUCCCCCUCCGCUGCCCUCUCCGCAUGCGGCGGCGGCGGAGGAAGAGGAGGAGGAAUGUCAGCUUCGACUGCCAUCUUUUGGGGGUUUGCAAAACUGACUCGUUUCCAUAGAUCUCAAGAAAGAGAAAAAGAGGAAAAGUGAUGGAGCUUUAUCUGUGGACGUGGAUAUGUCUUUGACCAAUAAUAUGUUGAUGCAGUUGCACAGUUACUGAAAAAUUGUCAAGGAAUUACAGAGGAGGAACCUGAGCACUGCUGCUCAGAAGGAUCUUGCCAGAUGGCUGGUAAUCUAUGAUCAACUUUAUCUUGUGCUUGUGAAUACUGGGUGUCAAUGCUGUCUGCUGGGAAUCCUAUUGCUGAGGGUCCUGCCCCUCCCCGGGCACUGUAUGGGGAAUCUCAACAGCCAGCUCGGGACUGUGAAUUCCACUGGGAGGCAGGACACCUAUGCAUUAGGUGUUGCAAUACAUACAUCCAUUUGCAGAUUUAGCACCAGACUUCUGGCACCUACAGGGUGCAUCUACAUGUGCAUUAAUGCACUUUUCCUAAUGCGCAUUAAAUUUAGUACCUGUGGGCAUUUAUACACAUACUUUUUCAUUCGGCUACAUGCUGGAGAUGUGCUGUUUCAGAGCAGACUCAAUUAAUCGAG